CGAAAGGAAGAUUAAUACCGCAUAACAUGUUUUUAUCGCAUGGUAGAAACAUCAAAGGAGCAAUCCGCUAUAAGAUGGACCCGCGGCGCAUUAGCUAGUUGGUGAGGUAACGGCCCACCAAGGCGACGAUGCGUAGCCGACCUGAGAGGGUGAUCGGCCACAUUGGAACUGAGACACGGUCCAGACUCCUACGGGAGGCAGCAGUGGGGAAUAUUGCGCAAUGGGGGAAACCCUGACGCAGCAACGCCGCGUGAAUGAAGAAGGCCUUAGGGUUGUAAAGUUCUGUUUUCUGGGACGAUAAUGACGGUACCA
rnacentral:rRNA from 1 species